CAUGCAAGUCGAGCGGUAGCACAGAGAGCUUGCUCUCGGGUGACGAGCGGCGGACGGGUGAGUAAUGUCUGGGAAACUGCCUGAUGGAGGGGGAUAACUACUGGAAACGGUAGCUAAUACCGCAUAACGUCGCAAGACCAAAGUGGGGGACCUUCGGGCCUCAUGCCAUCAGAUGUGCCCAGAUGGGAUUAGCUAGUAGGUGGGGUAAUGGCUCACCUAGGCGACGAUCCCUAGCUGGUCUGAGAGGAUGACCAGCCACACUGGAACUGAGACACGGUCCAGACUCCUACGGGAGGCAGCAGUGGGGAAUAUUGCACAAUGGGCGCAAGCCUGAUGCAGCCAUGCCGCGUGUAUGAAGAAGGCCUUCGGGUUGUAAAGUACUUUCAGCGAGGAGGAAGGCAUUAAGGUUAAUAACCUUAGUGAUUGACGUUACUCGCAGAAGAAGCACCGGCUAACUCCGUGCCAGCAGCCGCGGUAAUACGGAGGGUGCAAGCGUUAAUCGGAAUUACUGGGCGUAAAGCGCACGCAGGCGGUUUGUUAAGUCAGAUGUGAAAUCCCCGGGCUCAACCUGGGAACUGCAUUUGAAACUGGCAAGCUUGAGUCUUGUAGAGGGGGGUAGAAUUCCAGGUGUAGCGGUGAAAUGCGUAGAGAUCUGGAGGAAUACCGGUGGCGAAGGCGGCCCCCUGGACAAAGACUGACGCUCAGGUGCGAAAGCGU
rnacentral:rRNA from 1 species